ACAGGUGUGUGUAUAGGUGUUUAUACAGGUGUGUGUAUAGGUGUUUAUACAGGUGUGUGUAUAGGUGUUUAUACAGGGGUGUGUACAGGUGUUUAUACAGGUGUGUGUAUAGGUGUUUAUACAGGUGUGUGUACAGGUGUUUAUACAGGUGUGUGUACAGGUGUUUAUACAGGAGUGUGUACA